GUAACUGGACUCGAAAGAAGCAGCGUAAUACCGCAUACGAACCUGAGGGUGGAAAGCGGGGGAGUCGCAAGACCUCGCGCGAUUGGAGCGGCCGAUAUCAGAUUAGGUAGUUGGUGAGGUAAAGGCUACACCAAGCCGACGAUCUGUAGCUGGUCUGAGAGGACGACCAGCCACACUGGGACUGAGACACGGCCCAGACUCCUACGGGAGGCAGCAGUGGGGAAUUUUGGACAAUGGGCGCAAGCCUGAUCCAGCCAUGCCGCGUGCGGGAAGAAGGCCUUCGGGUUGUAAACCGCUUUUUGUCAGGGAAGAAAAGGUUCUGGCUAAUACCUGGGACUCAUGACGGUACCUGAAGAAUAAGCACCGGCUAACUACGUG
rnacentral:rRNA from 1 species